rnacentral:tRNA from 1 species
GCCGGGGUGGCGGAAUGGCAGACGCUCAAGACUUAAAAUCUUGUGUCGCAUUUGCGACGUGGAGGUUCGAGUCCUCUCCUCGGCACAA